rnacentral:lncRNA from 1 species
GGUGAUUGGGGACUUGGUGGUGCCUGUGAUGGUAUAGGAGAUUGGGUACUUGGUGGUGCCUGUGAUGGUACAAGAGAUUGGCUACUUGGAGGUGCCUGUGACAGUUGAGUUUCUGCUGUUUGGUCUGUUGUUUUUUCUGGCUAGGGACGCAAAGGGCAAUUGUUUUUGUUGUGGCCCCUAUGACGGCAAAUGCUACAUUUUUU